ensembl:lncRNA
AUGGGCCAAAUGCCAGCACAAAGGCUCCAGCAGGCGUGGAGCCAGGGAGCUGCCUACGGAUCUCUCUCGAAAGGAGCAAAGUCUGCAGCCCUGCCCGCCUGCUCACCCGUCCUGCCAGCUCAGAUGCCAUCCAUACUACUCCGGCCUCCUUCCUGGGCCUGCAGUUUGGAUCCUGAUGACAGACCUGGCUUGGGAGAACCAGCCAGAUAUGUGAACGGGUCUGAUGGAGGCCUGUCCUGCCUGGAAGACCUGGACACCAGCACUGAUGAGCCUGAUCAGAGGGGACCUGCCUCCUCUGAGUGCUGCGUGUGGUUUUCUCAGCCUGAUGCUCAAGACCUUGUGCAGUAUCAUUUCAGCCUACAAUCUGACUGCACCCCUGGCUGCUGGGAUUUCCUUCCUUGAACCCUCUGCUUCUGAAAAGCUGGUUACCUGGCACACAGCAGGCAUAAAGAAAUGUCUUUGCGUGAAAGAAUAUGCCUUAUGCUGGGCUAUAGUUUGCUUCAGUUCAUCUCAACGUGCAUUUCUUGAGUGUCCAGGACAACUGGUGCUUGAAGACUUCCUAGAUGCCAGACACUGGUAGCUUGGCCACUGUUCCAAUUUGCCCUGAACCUCCCCAACCAAACUGGGACAGUUGGGCAUCCUAAUAAAUUAGGCUCAAUGCAUUCUAUUUUCAUGGGACUUCUGACAUAGUGAGAGUGGAUAACAUUAAACAAAUUACCUCACAAAGAAAUGCAUAAUUACAAACAUGCUGGGUGCAAAGGACAAGUCAACCCUGAGGUAGGCACUGUGGAUAUGAAGAGAAAAAGACACAGUCAGGCCUUGGUGAAGCACCCUGCUUGUAAUUAGGAGAGAGAGGGACACACAGCUUAUUUAAUGUAAAGUGAUGAGCGCAGUAAGUCAGAAACCUACACUUUCUCGUCCCUGUUCACAUUAUACUGUUUCUAUUUUAAUUGGGGUUUCAAACAUUAGAAACCCACUCUGGGGAAUUAAUAGAGGUGUAUUGAAAGGAAAAGCUGAAAAAUAGGCCUUGGAAGAGAGAGAAACAACUGUUUCUUAGGGAACUGAGAUAGUCAAAAAAUAAUGCCAGAACAAAAGAACAUGCUUUGUUCCACUUCCAUUAGAAAAAUUGACUCUAGCUCUUCAGUGCCCUUGGGUUUCUCUGCCCAAUAUUCUAAUUCCAGGAAGAAAGUAUAUGAUGGCCAGGCUUGGGUCUCAUGCCAGCCCCUUGGCCAGUCUAGCGAGGCACCAUGAAUUAGAAAUUCCACCGAAACCAUGUGCAGCUGGGCAUGGGGAUGGGCAGUUGCUAUGGGAAAUGGAGGAGCUGGUGCUGGGAAGGUGAAGGCCACAGCUGCCUGCUGUCUCCUCUUCAGAAAGGGUCCCAGACUUUGCCUUCUCCAGCAUCUCUUUCACCAUGGUCACUGCCCUUGGAGAGCCUCUCUGCUUGCUUUUGAUCCAGAAUAUUCUGUUACCAUGGAUAGCACCAGGCUGACAGCUGUGUGUCUUAUUCAGCCACCCCGACUAUUAUCACCUUGGAGCAGGCGCUGUGUCCUUGGGCACAGCUAGUACAAUGCCUGGCCAGUGAAGAGACUCCAUAAGCAUUGCUGAGUACUUUCCAGAGAGUUUUGCAGAGCACGUGGCCAUCCUUCCCUGGCCCACUGCCCUCUGACCAAACCAGCCUUCUUCCUACAUCACAAGCACUCUGAACAGCUUUGUAGCCCACCUCACUAUUCCUUCAUCCCAUGUUGCCUGCUUUGCCGGUCUUGUGACUCAGGGGUUCUCAACUGGGGGUAGCUUUGCCCUCCAGGGGAACACUGGCAAUGUCUGAAGACAUUGUUUGGUUGUCACCCUGGAAAAAGAGAUGCUACUGGCAUCUUGUGGGUAAAGGCCAGGAAUGCUGCUAAACAUCCUGUAAUGUACAGGACGAUCCCCCAACAGAGUUAUGGGACCCACAAUGUCCACAGUGCCGAGGUCAGGAAAGCCUGCAGCGGGGCUCAAUCCCUACAGCCCAGAGACCCUCCCGUUUGGGAGGCCUUCCCUGAGCAUUUCCCAUUUCUUUCUCUCAUGCCCCCCACUGUAUUUCCUUCACAACACCUUGUCCUGGCCUAAAAUGAUCCUGCCUGCUUGUUCAGUUGCUGGCUUGGUGCCUGUCUUGUGCACUAGAUUGGUCCUAUGAGAGUGACUCCCGUGGGCCUUGCUCGUGGGGGGCUUUCCUGCAUGGAAAGUAGCACAUGGCAUACAGUGGGCUGCUCAGUAAACACGUCUUGCAGGAAUGCUGAAUAAAGAAAUAUGACCUCAACUUUUCUUUUACUUUAUGUUUUUAGUUUUUGAAACAGGUUCUCACUCUAUUGAUCAGGCUGGAGUACAGUGGUGUGAUCACAACUCACUGCAGCCUCAGCCUCCUUGGCUCAAGCGAUCUUCAUAGCUCAGUCUCCUGAGUAGUUGGGACUACAAGUGUGCACUACCAUGUCCAGAUAAUUUUCUUUUUAAUAUUUCUAGAAACAAGGUCCCUGAGUCUUUCUGUGUUUCCUAGGCAGGUCUUGAACUGCUGUGCUCAAGCAAUCCUCCCACCUCAGCUUCCCAAAGUGCUGGGAUUACAGGCAUGAGUUAUUGUGCCCAGGCUCAACUUUUCAAAGAUCAGUGGUUAGAGAGCUUGGCUGUGAACUCCAGUUUCUUUCAGGCUGGCUCUCUUUGUGUGUCUGUGUUUAUUUCCACAGCCAGUUCACAUUCAGUCUCUGUUGUUGGCUGGCUGUGUGGGCUUUUGGCAAAUUUCUGAAGCCUCCCAGGUCUCAGUCUCUGCACCUCUACAGUGGGGCCAUUAUGAUCAGCCCCUUCAUCACAGAGACGUAAUGGGAAGUAAAUAAAUGAACAUACAGCACUUAAGAAAACGCCUGACUCAGAAAAGCCUCCAUAAACAUCAUCUAUCAGCAGCAGCAGCAUCAUGUUCUGGCUGGGGCAGGCGAUGGGGAUGACAGAACAAGCUCUGGGUCCCUACCAGAAGAUUAGGGGAUUAAUGCAGCUUGCAAGGCCAAAGCUGUCCCCAUUUGGUUUUGCCAGAUCUUGCUCCCUCCAUGAAAUAAACCGGAUGAAGCCUUUAUCCAGCCCUUGUUUUGAGAAGGAGGCAAGCAGAGAGCAUGGAUUUAAUGUGGCAGAUGGUGCUGUCCUUGAAUUAUGAAACCAAAGGAGGAAAUUAAAGUGCUCCAUUGCAACAGAUAUGGGCCAGCCGGGGUAGAAGGCAGGAGGUGGGGCAGAAAGGAGGGCAGGAAGGAGGUGCUGUAUCAAUCAGGCAAUGACUGUUCUCCAGGGUAGCAGGAGUCCUAAGAUUAAAGAAUUUUGUAGCCCCAAAUAAUUUUAGAAUCUUCAUCUUACAUAGGCAAAUGAGGCCCAGAGAGGGAAAGUGACUGUGAAGGUCACACACCCAGUUAUUGGCAGAGCAACUCACACGUCCUGAUUCCUUGAACAGUAUUAUUUUUUGGGUGCCCCAAGCCAAGGCCAGUGGCAGACCCUGUCCCAAGGCUUCCUGAUUUGGGGCAGCUCUGCUUUGUGAGGACUUCGCUGGAUGGGCACCCAGUCUUCAGAGAGAGCCCAGGGUCAGGCAGUGCAAUCCCUGGGUCUUCUCUGCAGGAGCUCUCCUCUGAGCACACAGAGAGAUAUGAGCCACUGUCCUGGAGCCAUUCUGCUUGUGUCUGAAGCCCAGCAACCAUAAUAAGUUUUUACUCUCCUGGAAUGUCAGUUUCCUUAUCUAUAAAGUCGGAAAAAUAAUAGGCUCUUCCUUAUGGAGUUGCUGUGAGAAUUUGAUGAACUGUCAUCACCAUAAAGUUUUUUGUCCUUGGCUUGGCACAUAGUAAAUGUUCAAUAAAAUGUCAGUUCUCUUUGCAGCCCAGAAUUGACUUCACAGUCUAAAGGUCCCCUUAGGCUGUGAGCUCCUCAAGGCAGUUGUGUAUGGCACAGCUUUUGUUCCCUGUUCCUUGUUCAGCACCUGUCACCUGCUAGGGGCUCAGGAAAUGGCAGUGGCCAAUGCCAGGACCCCUUGAGGGCACCCAUUUCUCAGUGGCCACCGUGGAGCACCGGGUAAUGCUGCCAGCGAUAAAAGUGACUCUGUUACUCAUUUAGACUUUAAUCCUAAAUGGAUAAAGCAACCUUCCUGUCCAACAGUGAACCAGCCCCGUGAUGAGGGCUGUGUUUGUUUUCCCAGCCUUUCUCUGUAGCAAGGAGCCUUUCCCCAACGACACCGUAGGCUAUUUGCAUUUAAAUUGGUUUUCUCUCAUUAUAGAAAUCUCUUAGGUCAGCUGGAGUUUCCAUUUUCCUCCCAGUCAGUUUGGAGCCUCCAUUUCUCGCUUGAGGGUCCCUCGUGCUUUCCUCCCUCUCCCUGGCAGUGAGAUGUGAUCACGUAUUCUCACUGCGGAGACCAGAUAUCCUGAGAAAGGCGUCUGCAUCCCGUGGAGCUCAGAGUGUGUCUCACAGGAGAAAGGGGAGGGGAGGGAGGCGGGGAAUGGAAUAUCCUGGCCCCUGCAGUUACAGGAGGAGACCCCGUGGUGCUUCAGCUUCAGGAUUUAGGACUCAUUUUCUCAUUUAUUCCAGAAACAUCUACGUAGCAUACUGCUGGAAGCUUGGAAUGCAGAGAAAAAUAAAAUACACUUACUGCCUUCCAGGAGCUCCCUGUCUAGGGAAAGAGAGAGAAAAGCAAAAUUUUUUAAAUAUCUGAUAUUCUCAAAUAAUUGCUUUAAUAUGGAUCAGAAAAUAUUCCAGCCAUACUAGAGGCUUUCAGGUAAUGUUUAUCAUAAACUAGAGUCUCUCUCUCUGUCUCCCCUCACUCUCUCUUUCUCUGUCUCACACACACAUUACUCUACAUACAUGCACACACACAUGUGCAUACAUAGUAGCUAACAUGGUUAUAGCACUGCCUAUGUGGACAGCUACUCUUGUAAGAUAGA